UUAAAGAUUUAUCGGUAACCGAUGGGGAUGCGUUCCAUUAGGCAGUUGGCGGGGUAACGGCCCACCAAACCGACGAUGGAUAGGGGUUCUGAGAGGAAGGUCCCCCACAUUGGAACUGAGACACGGUCCAAACUCCUACGGGAGGCAGCAGUGAGGAAUAUUGGUCAAUGGGCGAGAGCCUGAACCAGCCAAGUAGCGUGAAGGAUGACUGCCCUAUGGGUUGUAAACUUCUUUUAUGCGGGAAUAACAAGCGGCACGUGUGCCGUUCUGCAUGUACCGUAUGAAUAAGCAUCGGCUAACUCCGUGCCAGCAGCCGCGGUAAUACGGAGGAUGCGAGCGUUAUCCGGAUUUAUUGGGUUUAAAGGGAGCGCAGACGGGUCUUUAAGUCAGUUGUGAAAGUUUGCGGCUCAACCGUAAAAUUGCAGUUGAUACUGGAGACCUUGAGUGCGGUAUAGGCA
rnacentral:rRNA from 1 species